UUCCGUAGGUGAACCUGCGGAAGGAUCAUUAUUGAAUUAAUGUAGAGUUUGGUUGUAGCUGGCUCCUAAUUAAACUUGGGGGCAUGUGCACACCUUUCUCUUUCAUCCCAUACACACCUGUGCACCUGUGAGACAGAUGUUUUGUGGGGGGGAAGGAACUUUAUUGGACCUUCUACUCCCCCUUGACUUCUGUCUACUUAAUUCAUAUAAACUCAAUUUAUUUUAAAACGGAUGUAAUGGAUGUAACACAUCUAAUACUAAGUUUCAACAACGGAUCUCUUGGCUCUCGCAUCGAUGAAGAACGCAGCGAAAUGCGAUAAGUAAUGUGAAUUGCAGAAUUCAGUGAAUCAUCGAAUCUUUGAACGCACCUUGCGCUCCUUGGUAUUCCUUGGAGCAUGCCUGUUUGAGUAUCAUGAAAUCUUCAAAGUCAAACCUUUUGUUAAUUCAAUUGGUUCUGCUUUGGUAUUGGAGGAUUAUUGCAGCUUCACACCUGCUCCUCUUUGUGCAUUAGCUGGAUCUCAGUGUUAUGCUUGGUUCCACUCAGCGUGAUAAGUUAUCUAUCGCUGAGGACACCCUGUUAAAAAGGGGUGGCCAAGGUAAAUGCAGAUGAACCGCUUCUAAUAGUCCAUUGACUUGGACAAUAUCUAAUUUAUGAUCUGAUCUCAAAUC
rnacentral:rRNA from 1 species